GGGAAAAGGAGGUCUCCCAGAGAAGAGAGGAGAGGCCUGACUGCAGGAGCGGCUUCUGACGCUGCUGAGGGAUGAAGUAUUCCCCGGAUAUCGAGGUCCCACACCUGACUUAAUCGGCUGCAUCCAGUGAGGACAGGUGCAGCUCUGGGUCUGUGAUGAUGAAGACCAAGGGGAAAUCACAAGGUUGGAGGACCUGCUGCCAGAUUCCUGUGAUGUGGAGGCUUCCUGGGACCCAUCAGCAGAGGAAAUCUCCGUGGGCUCAUUCCCUGCACCAGACAUUGCCCUAAAAACAGGAGGUGCCUGGCUGGUGAGCAGAGCUGAGGAGCAGGCUCCUAAGGAAGGGCUUGCAAAUCUGGAGCCACCAUGGGCUUCCCAAGGGGGUUUGGGUGAGAUGGACUCCCUGAGCCCUGUGAAGCACCAAUGGCACAAGGGUCAGGAGAAGCCCCAAAAGUGGAAGGAGAAUGUAGCAGUGGACCAGGUCCCAUCUCCAGUUGCUUGUGAGAAUGAAGAAGGGAAAGAAGCCAGAAAAAGACCUGGGUUCAGGGAAGAUUUUCUGAUGCUGAGAGACCUGAAGAGGCAUAAAGAAAAGGUCCUUUGCAUGCAGUCUCUCUCUUUGGUGGAAGGCAGUGGGGAUGGCCUUGGAGGGAACCUGGAGCUCACCACCAAGCCCAGGGGGAGAGCCCACCCCUGCCCUCAGUGCAGCAAAAGCUUUAACUGCCCCUCACUCCUGGCUCUGCAUGAGAUAAGGCACACUGGGGAGAAGCCCCACAUAUGCACCACGUGUGGGAAGAGCUUCACCUACCCCUCCUGCCUUGCCCGGCGCCAGCACAUCCAAUGGCUUGAUGUGGCACCAGUGCAUCCACUACACAGUGGAGAAGCCACAUCAGUGCUCUGAAUGUGGGAAGAGGUUCACCCAGUCCUCCAGGCUGGCUGAGCACAAGCCACAUAACUGCUUAGUGUGUGGGAAAAGCUUUAGCUAUGCCUCCAGCCUGACCCAGCACCAAAGCAUUUACCAUGCAGAGGAGAAGCCCCAUCACUGCAUUGAGUGUGGGAAGAGCUUCAGCUGCUUUUCCCAUGUGGCCGAGCACCAGCUUAUCCACACAGGGAAGAAGCCACAUGGGUGCUCUGUGUGUGGGAAGAGCUUCACCUACUCCUCCAACCUGACCCAGCACCAGCACAUCCACACAAGGGAGAAGCCACCUCAUUGUUCUGAGUGUGGAAGGAGCUUCACCCAUUCCAGAAACCUGUCCCGGCAUCAGUGCAUCCACAUCCAGAAGCAUCCCUAAUUCUGCCAGCAGUGCAGGAAGGGCUUGGUGCUGUCUCCCUGCUCAGCACCCACCAGUGGCUGCAUUUUGGCAAGCAUCUUCAGACUGCAGAAGGAGUUCCUCCAGGCUUUAUCCAUUGUAGGGCACAGCAGAAACCCAGAGGCCUGGCCCCCAAGGUUCAAUUGUGGGGAGGGGUUAAGAGGAAAUACCUCAGACAAGGCCAGCCCAGGUGUUGGGGGAGGAGAUAAGGAGGAAAUGAUUUUUUUGUAUCAGCCUUGGAUCCUGUGCAUUUCCCAUCAAUCUCUAAAAGCAGUCAGUGCUCCCUGGGGAAGAAGUGCCUUCAUGAUAGGGUGUUCUGCCCAAGACAACUGGCUUCAAAUGACUCCCAGGGAUUGUCCUUUGCCUCCCAGCUUUCUCUUCACUCCUGGUCCCAAUGUUGUGUGAGGCUCUUGAGUAGCAGGAAGGAGGACAUUCGUGGCUGGGAAAGUAUUCACUACCCUCCACCCUGACCUUACCUUUCCUCACCACAAUAUCAUCCCUAUCCCAGGUCUCCCCAUGCCCAGUGGGGUCUGCAAGUAGUUGCUACUACCACCCCCUGAGCCUUUCUGGCUUGAUUUGCUUUUCAGCCCCUCCAGAACUCUGCAGCACUGGGUGCCUGCUGCUCCCUUCCCCUCAUGUUAUUCUCUCUAAUACAUUCACUGAUACUAUAGCACCAGAACUGAAGAUGACACCCCUGUGGUUGGUCUCUGUCCUUUCCUGAGCUGUGCAAUUGGAACAGACAAGGGCCCACAACACUUUCCAGGGCAGAUGUCUCUGUGACUUCCCAGCCCUUCUCUUUCCAGACCAUUGGAGCUUGUUCUAAUCCUUGGGAAUAGGAAUUGUUCUGAUUCGAGGCCUCACUCCCCUGUUCUACUGUGCAGCAAGGUCCCUGCCCUUCUGAAGGAACCACUGAGCAGGAGGCAGUAGAGUCCCUUUUCUGUGUGCAGUUAGGUACCA